rnacentral:rRNA from 1 species
UACGGAGGGGGCAAACGUUGCUCGGAAUCAUUGGGCGUAAAGCGCAUGUAGGCGGUUUUUUAAGUCAGGUGUGAAAGCCCUGGGCUCAACCCAGGAAGUGCACUUGAAACUGGAAGGCUUGAAUAUGGAAGAGGGUCUCGGAAUUCCCGGUGUAGAGGGGAAAUUCGUAGAUAUCGGGAGGAACACCAGUGGCGAAGGCGGCGACCUGGGCCAAUAUUGACGCUGAGAUGCGAAAGCGUGGGGAGCAAUCAGG